ACUAGCUACUACCUCGGGUACUUGCUUCACAAGCUCUCGACGAAAAGGACGUGUAACUGCUUGCAAGACCCGGAUCCCUCUAUAUAACACGGUGUAGUCCGUGGGUGUUACCGUGGCCACCCUAACAACAAGCGGAGCAGCGGGAAAUGGGCACGCGGGUGCCUCGCUCCCCGCUUCCUCGUUUCAGGUGGCCGGCUUCCUCGUUUCAGCUGUGAAGCUGCUCUCUGCUGGACCUCUUCAGCUCUUCUCUGCUGGACAAACCAUCUGGUUUGAUGACCCACUACGGUUGCCAUACAACAUGGGAUACUUCAAACUCAAAGUGCUGCUCCUCUUGAUUCUUGCACCGAUGAUGGCAUAUUGCACCCAGUCCCACUGCCCCUCCUCCAUGUACGGCCCGACUCAUCUCUGCUUGUGCACAACAAGGAAGGCCAUGGAGACGCUGCUCCCUAUGUUCAGCGCGUGGACGGACGAUGCAGCGUUGGGGAUGACUCAUGGCUGCCUCCGUUUGUGCAGAUGCUCUUGUUUAGUGGGACGCUAUGCAGUUUUUUGGUGAAUGGUGCCGCUGCUGCAGCUCAUUGGUUCUAGCCCGACAUUCAGCUCUGAAUGGACGUGUGUCAGGGACAGGAUGAUCACCAUCCAGGUUUUGACACGGUAUUUUCUCUUUCUAAUCUACUAUAGAGAUUAUUAGCAGCCGCAUGUGGAAAGGUUUGGCAAUUCAAAGUACUUCAAGAAACUGUUAUCAUUGAAGCCUGCUUGGAAAUUAUAUAGAAGUGUAAUUUGUAGUGGAGUUAUCAGUUCUCCGUUGAUAAAUGUACAAUGUGAAGGCAAAUAAUCUUUUUGUAUGUUUAUGUUACAUUACAGCUAUCAAAACGCAUGCAGAUGUUGCAUCUCUCUCUCUCUGUGUCUCUCUCUCUCUCUCUCUCACACACACACACACACGUGCGUGCGUGCGUGCGCGUGCACACACAAACACAUACGCACGCGAUCAGGCAAUGGAGGGCCCUGGCUCCGAUUGCAAUAUUUCAUAUUUGUUUUGCUUUUAUAAGUGGUGGAUGCAUAGCCUAAAUUAAGGGCCAACCUUUAGGCAGGAAAGUGGGACAAUCUUCGGUAACAUCACCACGCUUCUUAUCAUACCCACUCGCGGUGGAGCCGCCAGCCUGGCCGAGUCGCUGUUGAUCAGCGCCAACUCCAUGAGGGAAAAAUAUGGUACUGAUUUCUUAGGUUGUUAGGUUCUGUGUUCUCCUAGGAUUUAAGAUGGUGAAGUUACUGUGACUGUAAUCGAAUAUCCAUUUCAAUAAGAACUUCAGUGCUUGAGUUUUUCUGUUUCUUUGCUUGUUUCUAUAAGAACUCCAGUGCUUGAGUUUGGACCUCAUGUCCCCGUCAGAUUUCAUUUUGCUCGAAUUAUUCAAUCAGAACUUGUGGUAUUCUACAUUUUAUUGGAUCUCAAUCUUCCUUAAAUGGCAUCCGAUUCUUCACAAGCUGAUGAAAUAUUUCAUUGGCCAAUUUCUCAGAUUAGGAAUUGAGAUAAACAUCAAUUUGGCUCAAGGUAAUACACCCUACUUUGCAUAAUAAAUCAUAUUUGGCUAUUUUGAAUGCAGCCGGGAUGCUGAAAAGUUUGUUGAAGUUCUUCUAGCUUGCUCUCAAAUAUUAGCGGCCACGUGCGCGUGCUGAUGUAGAACCAUCAAAUGUCUCACUUAGAUAUCUUCUGAAAGAUCUUGUGUUGAUAAUCUUUGAGCAAAGAAGUGUGUAACUGCAUCAAACUGCUAUUUUGAUGCAAUACUAUGUCUGAUAAUAGCUUAUCUUCUAGCAUUCCCUGUAAAUUUUGUGCUGACCAAUAUUUUACUAAACUAAUUUGUACAAUUCAAUACAGACUUGCUAAGGGUCCUCUAGCUUGGGGAGGCUAAUAUCCCAUUUUGUCAAGAUUGUUAGACUUCUUGUAUUAAAUUUUAUGUUACUUUUGUACUGAGAUUUCCAGCAAGUGCUAGCAGAAGCGUGGUUUUGCCACAGCCUGGGGAUCCAAGGAGAAGGGCCAUCCUAUACUCCGCCUCGAUGCGCAGGUUCUGCCAUGGCACCUUCGUCGUCGACUGCUGCAUGCUGAACCUGUCCAUCCUGCAGUGCUGGUGUUGGAGCAGGCGGAGGUUGUCCUCGUGGUUGUCAACGAUGAGGAUGUGCACCAGCUCCCGUCGAUCCGCGACCCACAGCCGACGCAGGUCAACUGGCUCCAGCGGACGAACGUCGUUGACAUUCCCAUUGGUAUGCAGAGGGGAGCAAGAUGCGGGGCCUGUCCACGGCAGCCGCUCGAUGGCCGCACAUCUAGCUCGUCACAGGGUGAGCUGUGACGGACGCGCAGGGUAGGCAAGCAAUGGUGGCGAGCAGGUGAGACAAGCUCUGUCGGCGAGCAGGCGUGAGCCAGCUGGAAACAGUGAGCUUCAGUGGCACACGCAGGCGUUGCCGAAGAUUCCGUACUCCUAUAAUCAUGG